GAUGAACGCUGGCGGCGUGCCUAAUACAUGCAAGUCGAGCGAACAGACGAGGAGCUUGCUCCUCUGACGUUAGCGGCGGACGGGUGAGUAACACGUGGAUAACAUACCUAUAAGACUGGGAUAACUUCGGGAAACCGGAGCUAAUACCGGAUAAUAUAUUGAACCGCAUGGUUCAAUAGUGAAAGACGGUUUUGCUGUCACUUAUAGAUGGAUCCGCGCCGGAUUAGCUAGUUGGUAAGGUAACGGCUUACCAAGGCGGCGAUGAGUAGCCGACCUGAGAGGAUGAUCGGCGACAAUGGAGCUGAGGAGCGGUCCAGACUCCUACGGGAGGCAGCAGUAGGGAAUCUUCCGGAAAGGGCGACAGCCUGACGGAGCAGCGCCGCGUGAGUGAUGAAGGUCUUCGGAUCGUAGAACUCUGUUAUUAGGGAAGAACAAAUGUGUAAGUAACUGUGCACGUCUUGACGGUACCUAAUCAGAAAGCCACGGCUAACUACGUG
rnacentral:rRNA from 1 species